rnacentral:rRNA from 1 species
GAUGAACGCUGGCGGCGUGCCUAAUACAUGCAAGUCGAGCGAACGGACGAGAAGCUUGCUUCUCUGAUGUUAGCGGCGGACGGGUGAGUAACACGUGGAUAACCUACCUAUAAGACUGGGAUAACUUCGGGAAACCGUAGCUAAUACCGGAUAAUAUUUUGAACCGCAUGGUUCAAAAGUGAAAGACGGUCUUUCUGUCACUUAUAGAUGGUUCCGCGCUGCAUUAGCUAGUUGGUAAGGUAACGGCUUACCAAGGCAACGAUGCAUAGCCGACCUGAGAGGGUGAUCGGCCACACUGGAACUGAGACACGCUCCAGACUCCUACGAGAGGCAGCAGUAGCGAAUCUGCCGCAAUGGGCGAAAGCCUGACGGAGCAACGCCGCGUCAGUUAUGAAGGUCUUCGGAUCGGAAAACUCUGUUAUUAGUGGAGAACAUAUGUGUAAGUAACUGUGCACAUCUUGACGGUACCUAAUCAGAAAGCCACGGCUAACUACGUG